rnacentral:misc_RNA from 1 species
GAAAUGCGAUAAGUAAUGUGAAUUGCAGAAUUCCGUGAAUCAUCAAAUCUUUGAACGCAAAUUGCACUCCUUGGUAUUCCGAGGAGUAUGCUUGCUUGAGGGUUGAAUCACCAAAAAUCGUGAAAAAUACUUUUCACGGAUCUGGGUUUUUCCAAAAUUUUGAAUUUUGGUGACCUAAAAUUUAUCUUAACAAUAUUUCGGUAUGAUAUUGGAAAUGUUCUAUCUUACAUAUUUUUGUAAGUUCAUUAAUAAUUAUUACCAAUUGUUACGUCGUGUUAUUCAUCUAGUAUUUUUUAAUUGGGUGAAAUAAUUCAAUAUAUUUUAAUUUCAACCUCAAGUCAAGUAAGAAUACCCGCUGAACUUAA